rnacentral:rRNA from 1 species
GACGAACUGUGCAAACGUUAUUCGGAAUCACUGGGCUUGAAGAGUGCGUAGGCGGUUUCGUAAGUAGGGUGUGAAAGCCCCCAGCUCAACUGGGGAACUGCGUCCUAAACUGCGAGGCUGGAGUGAGGUAGGGGUGUGCGGAACUUCCGGUGGAGCGGUGAAAUGUGUUGAUAUCGGAAGGAACGCCGGUGGCGAAAGCGGCACACUGGACCUUGUCUGACGCUGGGGCACGAAAGCCAGGGGAGCAAACGGG